rnacentral:misc_RNA from 1 species
UCUCCGUUGGUGAACCAGCGGAGGGAUCAUUGCUGGAAGCGUCUCACGGCGCACCCAGAAACCCUAUGUGAACUUAUACCACUUUGUUGCCUCGGCGCGAGCCGGGGGCUUCUAUAAGCCCCCCCUUACCUCGGUGAGGAGCAGGCCCGCCGGCGGCCCACUAAACUCUUUGUUUUUAUAACGUAUCUCUUCUGAGUUUUUAAACAAACAAAUGAAUCAAAACUUUCAACAACGGAUCUCUUGGUUCUGGCAUCGAUGAAGAACGCAGC